rnacentral:tRNA from 1 species
GGGGAUAUAGUUCAGUGGCACAGAGCCUGCCUGGCAAGUGCAAGGUCCCGAGUUCAAUUUCCGGUACCCCCC